UACAGAGGGUGCAAGCGUUAAUCGGAGUUACUGGGCGUAAAGGGCGCGUAGGCGGUUUAGUAAGUGAGAUGUGAAAUCCCUGGGCUUAACCUAGGAACUGCAUCUUAUACUGUUAGACUAGAGUACUGUAGAGGGUAGUGGAAUUUCCGGUGUAGCGGUGAAAUGCGUAGAGAUCGGAAGGAACACCAGUGGCGAAGGCGGCUACCUGGACAGAUACUGACGCUGAGGCGCGAGAGCGUGGGGAGCAAAC
rnacentral:rRNA from 1 species